AGAGUCUGGGUGCCAUCUGUCAUGGGGGUUGGAGAGGGGCUUUCUGCCCCUGGGAGAGGAGUGGGGAUGCCACUGUCAGAGAAAUGGUCUCUCUGGACCUUUCCAGCUGGCCUGACUGGGCUCCUCAGAGCCCUGGGGCAACAGGUGAGACCUAGAAAGCUUGAGGCCCAGAGGCCCAAAGGGCCGCCCCCGCAUAAUGUAUGGACUCCAUCCUUGAGGGACUGGUAUGCAGUGGGGAAGACAAAUCUGGAAAGAUUCUGUUUGGGGAACUGUGCGCUGCCCACUCUCCCCCAGGGGCUUCUCACACCUCUCACCAUUGAAAGCCCACACCUGCCAACGAUGGCAGUUCUGGUCAGCACAAGAGCCACCAGGCAUGGUCUCUGAUUCCAUUGUCCCUUGCAUCCUGGGGCAUGGAUCCCUGGGGCGGCAUCAGUGCAUGGAAAUCCUGGAGGUAGACAAGACUUCCUGGGAAACCCAGCUAGAGGUGAAACCCAGCUAGAGGUUUCAAGGGGGAUCAGACCAGCCCAGCCAAAUUAUCCCCAGCCUGUGCCCCAGGUUUGGCCCAGCCCAGUGGGUUUGUUCAAACUCAAGAGUAAGGACCUGGCUGGGUACCGAGGCUCACAUCUGUAAUCCCAGCACUUUGGGAGGCCGAGGCAGGCGGAUCACCUGGGGUCAAGAGUUGGAAUAUAGCCUGGCCAACAUGGUGAAACCACGUCUCUACUGAAAAUACAAAAAUUAGCCAGGCAUGGUGGCACGUGCCCAGCUACUCAGAAGGCUGAGGCAGGAAAAUUGCUUGAACCCGGGAGGCAGAGGUUGCAGUGGGCCAAGAUUGCACCACUGCAUCUAGCCUGGGCCACAGAGCGAGACUCUGUCUCACAAAAAAAGGAAAAAAAAAAAAGAGUAGGGACCUGGAGUGGCCCGACUCGAUGCCUCACCACACACCACCUAGGGAUUUCUGUGAAGAGAGAACCUGAGGCCUGGAGAAGAAGAUGCAGAAGCUGAGGAUCCGAGAAGUUCUAUGAUCUGCCCAUGGCCACAGUUACUAAAAGGUGGAGCCUAGACUUCUCACUGUUGUCCUACCAGCUCCAGAACAAUAUUCUUUCCUCUGCCAAGCAUUGAGAGGGGCUGUGGUGUAGUGUCAGAGGAAGCCAAAGUGAGGUGGGACCUCUGUAAACAUCCACUUCAACCUCACGGCCCCCGCAACCUGCACCCUGGGGGACAGAGACCAAGGCCCGGAGAGGUGAAAUAACUUGUCUGAAGUCACAGGGUUCCCCAGGAGUUGAACCAGGCUUCAAUCCAUGGCAAUAAAAGUGUUCUGAAUUGUAGACAAGUGGGCCCCCCCCUUCCCCAAUGAUCUGUCACAGCCAUGAGGGCUGGGCUCCCGUAGUUGUGAGGCCUAAUUCUCAGACCCUUCCCCCACCACACACACACCUGUUGUUCUCGGGGGCUGGAGGCAGAACCCUCUGGGCAGGAUGCUGCCCCUCGAAUCAGCCUUUCCUCUCCUAAAGUCCAUCUGAUGGUCUGUGCCCCACCCCCACAUUGGCCCCCAAGGGACCCUGGGUCUCUGGUUUUUGUCAGGCCUGAGACGUUGGUGGGAUUGAUUUAUGAGAGGAGCCCCUACCCCCACUCACCCUGAGCCCUUGGUCCUCCUCCCCCUUCUCCUCCUCUUCCUCUUCCCACUCCUCCUCCUCCGCCUGACUGCCUGCUCAGUUUUCCACAGAGUCAGGAUUUCCCUGGGGCUGGGGGCUCCAAGCCAAGAACAACAGAAGACCGGUUCCCCCACCUCUCCUGCCCCUCCCAUCCCCCUCCAGCUCACUCCCCCGAAAGAGCAGGUCCCCCUUCGUUGAGAGGAGGGGUUGAGAGUGGAGGUCCAGGUCCAGCCUGAUCCUUAAGGAAGGGCCAGAAGGGAGUCCCCUCCCAGCAGGCGCCAGGGCUGGCCACCCCCUCCAUGGCCUGAGAAGCGCCUUUCUUCCAGGGCUCCCCUGGAAGUCCACGCUGGGGUGUGGAGACAACAGAGAGAAUCCUGAGGGCUCGCUGGGGUGGAAUAGGGGGUGUUGAGAGUAGUGAACGAGACAGACCCACACUCGGAGGGGCAGGUAGGAGAUCCUGGGAAUCCACGUGGUGGGGAGCAGAGAGGAUUCUGGAAGCCUCCACUGGGGCUGGGAGGGGGAAGGUCAGAGGCCUCUGAGACCCCACACUGGAGGUGGGUAGGAAGUAAGGUCCCCUCUGGAUGCUUAGUGGGCACAGAGAAGAAUAAGAAGGGGGGUCCCAACCAGUCUCUGGUUCCCUCUCCAUGGGGCGAGACUUGAGUCAAAGGAAAGGCUAUGGGGACAGAAAGUGGGAGCGCCUGUCGUGGAAACAAGGGCAGAAGCCUGCACGAUGAGGGCAGUGUUUAAGGAACGGGAUGCCAGACAGACCCCAGGAUUGGGGUCGCAAGAGGGAAGGGUCGGGCAGGAAGCGGGAGGUCACGGCUUGUGUCUGAGUUCGGCUUCUGUCUGGCUCUGAGGCUUGAUUUUGGCCCUUCAGUCUAGAAGAGGAGGUGUGGGGACUGGGUGGCUAAGGAACCCUGUUUUUCUCCCUGAGAAGGGGCCCAGACACUCAGACCACUAUAGGCAGACAGACAGAGCUUCUCCCUAGAAAGCGCUCCCUGGGGCUCUGCCUGCAGCCUGCCAGCUGGACAGGAGAAGCCUACUGUCCUGCGCCUGGCCACUCCCCACUUAGUCAGUCCAUCCCCAGCUGCCUCCACCACUCCUCCAUCAGCCCAGGCCUCCAUCCCUCUCAGCGGCGUGAACCUGGCUGACCCUCCAAGGUUGCCUGUCUCACACAGCAGCUCCUUUGAUAGGUCUCUGAAGGCCUCGUUUUCCUCCAUGCAUGCUCUUGCCUGGCCCCGCAGUGAACCCCUGUGUCCACCCUCCCCAGUGUGUGACCCAGGCCUAUCCUCAGCUCUGACUAGGGAGGAGAGG
rnacentral:lncRNA from 1 species